AAAUCGGGAUUAUCCCUCAUAAUAUUUUUGAAAGGCAUCUUUUAAAAAUUAAAGUUUCGACGGUUAUUGAUGGGCAUGCGUGGCAUUAGUUUGUUGGUGAGGUAACGGCUCACCAAGACAUCGAUGCCUAGGGGGCCUGAGAGGGUGAUCCCCCACACUGGUACUGAGACACGGACCAGACUCCUACGGGAGGCAGCAGUAAGGAAUAUUGGGCAACGGACGAAAGUCUGACCCAGCCAUGCCGCGUGCAGGAUGACGGCCCUAGUGGUUGUAAACUGCUUUUAUACGGGAAGAAAAGUUCCAACGUGUUGGAAUGUGACUGUACCGUAUGAAUAAGCAUCGGCUAACUCCGUGCCAGCAGCCGCGGUAAUACGGAGGAUGCAAGCGUUAUCCGGAUUCAUUGGGUUUAAAGGGUGCGUAGGCGGAUUGGUAAGUCAGUGGUGAAAUCCUCUCGCUUAACGGGAGAAUUGCCGUUGAUACUAUCAAUCUUGAGUACACUUGAAGUGGGCGGAAUGUGUCAUGUAGCGGUGAAAUGCAUUAGAUAUGACACAGAACACCGAUUGCGAAGGCAGCCCACUAAAUUGUAACUUGACGCUGAGGCACGAAAGCGUGGGGAGCAAACAGGAUUAGAUACCCUGGUAGUCCACGCUGUAAACGAUGAUCACUAGCUGUUGGCGAUACACUGUCAGCGGCUGAGCGAAAGUAUUAAGUGAUCCACCUGGGGAGUACGAUCGCAAGGUUGAAACUCAAAGGAAUUGACGGGGGCCCGCACAAGCGGAGGAGCAUGUGGUUUAAUUCGAUGAUACGCGAGGAACCUCACCUAGGCUUAAAUGCUUUUUGACCGUCCUGGAAACAGGAUUUCCCUUCGGGGCAAAUUGCAAGGUGCUGCAUGGUUGUCGUCAGCUCGUGCCGUGAGGUGUCGGGUUAAGUCCCAUAACGAGCGCAACCCCUAUUCUUAGUUGCCAUCAGGUAAUGCUGGGAACUCUAAGGAAACUGCCUACGCAAGUAGUGAGGAAGGUGGGGAUGACGUCAAAUCAGCACGGCCCUUACGCCUAGGGCUACACACGUGCUACAAUGGCCAGCAUAGUGGGU
rnacentral:rRNA from 1 species